GUGAGGAAUAUUGGACAAUGGGCGCAAGCCUGAUCCAGCCAUGCCGCGUGCAGGAAGACGCAUCUAUGGUGUGUAAACUGCUUUUGUACGGGAAGAAACACUCCCUCGUGAGGGAGCUUGACGGUACCGUAAGAAUAAGGAUCGGCUAACUCCGUGCCAGCAGCCGCGGUAAUACGGAGGAUCCAAGCGUUAUCCGGAAUCAUUGGGUUUAAAGGGUCCGUAGGCGGUGUAAUAAGUCAGUGGUGAAAGCCCAUCGCUCAACGAUGGAACGGCCAUUGAUACUGUUAGACUUGAAUUACAAGGAAGUAACUAGAAUAUGUAGUGUAGCGGUGAAAUGCUUAGAUAUUACAUGGAAUACCAAUUGCGAAGGCAGGUUACUACUUGUGGAUUGACGCUGAUGGACGAAAGCGUGGGGAGCGAACAGGAUUAGAAACCCCGGUAGUCC
rnacentral:rRNA from 1 species